GUCCACGCCGUAAACGAUGGGUACUAGGUGUAGGGGGUAUCGACUCCCCCUGUGCCGUCGUUAACACAAUAAGUACCCCGCCUGGGGAGUACGGUCGCAAGACUAAAACUCAAAGGAAUUGACGGGGCCCGCACAAGCAGCGGAGCAUGUGGUUUAAUUCGAAGCAACGCGAAGAACCUUACCUAGACUUGACAUCUCCUGAAUUACUCUUAAUCGAGGAAGCCCUUCGGGGCAGGAAGACAGGUGGUGCAUGGUUGUCGU
rnacentral:rRNA from 1 species